AAGUGGGCGUGGAAAGAGAGCGGAAGCCGAAACUAGGCGGCUUCACAGAUCUUGCACUGGGUCCCUGUGCCUGCCUGCCAUCGAGGAUCCAAAAUCUAAGGAUGAUGCUCGGAGUCCCACCACAGCCUGUCAGAGUUCACAUAGCGAAACCCAAAGCGCCUGCCCCUGUGACAUCAUCUGAAUUCAGCCACCCUCACUACCGCCACCAGCCCAGGAUAAGGAUCAUAUUUCCAGUCUCCUUUGCAGCUACCCGGCCACUGGACCAAUCUCCAACCAGGCAGAUAAAGGGAUGGAAGUUAGAGUCUCGCCUGGCGACUUCCGGUAACAGCUUUGUGCCACUUUCCCUAGAACGAUCCUCCUGCCUCCUUCCUGCCAGCUCCAUGGAUUGUAAAAUCACGUUGGGCGUGGCAGCCAGACAGAAUAAAGCACCAAAUUAAAACAGGUGCCAGUGUCCCCAUGUCAUGCAGAGUCAGCAAGGCACUCUGCACCAGCCCCAGCCCCACACUUCCUAUCUCCAGGUUUCUAAAAUAAAGAGAAAAAUGAAAUUGCCCUGUGCCCCAAACUGUGGCUAUUUGAGGGUUUUCUAUUACAAGUAGGCGAACUCAUUCCUAGCCAGUAUAGAGGCUAAGCGGCCAAGGGGUAAGGGGAAUCGUCUCAAGCAGGAUGGACAGGAAGGUAUCCCCGAGGGUGUGACAUUUGGGCAGAACAAAAGGAGGGAGAAGCCAAGCUGUGUGGGCAAGGGUGUCCCAGGCAGAACUUGCUCCCUGUCACCUAAGCUGGCAACCCAAGCCUUGUCCCCAGGCACCUUCUGUUCUACAGGCCACGUCUCACCUGUCACCAGAACAGAGUUCAGAACAAAGGAAACCAACUAAGGACACACACUCCCAGUCUCACCUCUCAGGCUGCCUUCUGCAGUCUGGCCCACAAAGGGUUAAACUGCUCCCCCCCCCCAAAGAGCUCUGUGAUGGAGCCUGGGGCCUUGUCUGGAAAACUGAUCUUGUGGGUUCUUUUAGUUCUGUAAGUCUGUGGUACUUUGUUAGGGAAUCCUUAAAGGAGAGGUUUCCUUUCAGGGAUAUGGUCUGACUGUGUAGCCCAGACUGGGCUCGAACUCACAAUCUUCCUGCCUGAGCCUCCAAGGGCUGGGGCUCUGUGAAGGUUAUGUUUUAUUGAGAUGUAAACUCACAUAUUACAUAAUUUAACCAUC
ensembl:antisense Hk1os hexokinase 1, opposite strand